CAAUAGCGUAUAUUAAAGUUGUUGCAGUUAAAAAGCUCGUAGUUGGAUUUGUGGCGUACGGUGUGUUCCGGGCACUUGUUGUCUGAGUAACCUGCUGUUGCCAUCCUUGGGUGGAACCUGUGUGGCAUUAGGUUGUCGUGCAGGGGAUGCCCAUCAUUUACUGUGAAAAAAUUAGAGUGUUCAAAGCAGGCUUAUGCCGUUGAGUAUAUUAGCAUGGAAUAAUGAGAUAGGACUUUUUUGCUAUUUUGUUGGUUUGCGCAAAGAGGUAAUGAUUAAUAGGGACAGUUGGGGGUAUUCGUAUUCCAUUGUCAGAGGUGAAAUUCUUGGAUUUUUGGAAGACGAACUACUGCGAAAGCAUUUACCAAGGAUGUUUUCAUUAA
rnacentral:rRNA from 1 species